rnacentral:rRNA from 1 species
CCUACGGGUGGCUGCAGUGGGGAAUAUUGGACAAUGGGCGAAAGCCUGAUCCAGCCAUGCCGCGUGUGUGAAGAAGGCCUUCGGGUUGUAAAGCACUUUCAGUGGGGAAGAAAGCCUGGGGGCUAAUACCCUCGAGGAAGGACAUCACCCACAGAAGAAGCACCGGCUAACUCCGUGCCAGCAGCCGCGGUAAUACGGAGGGUGCGAGCGUUAAUCGGAAUUACUGGGCGUAAAGCGCGCGUAGGCGGUCUGAUAAGCCGGUUGUGAAAGCCCCGGGCUCAACCUGGGAACGGCAUCCGGAACUGUCAGGCUAGAGUGCAGGAGAGGAAGGUAGAAUUCCCGGUGUAGCGGUGAAAUGCGUAGAGAUCGGGAGGAAUACCAGUGGCGAAGGCGGCCUUCUGGACUGACACUGACGCUGAGGUGCGAAAGCGUGGGUAGCAAACAGGAUUAGAUACCCCGGUAGUC